AGCUUUGCGCAGUGGCAGUAUCGUAGCCAAUGAGGUUUAUCCGAGGCGCGAUUAUUGCUAAUUGAAAACAUAUAGCACAUAUCUAUAUCAUGAAAUAUUGCCCAGUAAUAAAAAGUAAUACAUUAUUGACACAUAAAAUUGGAU